rnacentral:rRNA from 1 species
AGAACGAACGCUGGCGGCAGGCUUAACACAUGCAAGUCGAGCGCCCAGCAAUGGGAGCGGCGGACGGGUGAAUAACGCGUGGGAAUAUGCCCUUUGGUACGGAACAACUCAGGGAAACUUGAGCUAAUACCGUAUGAGCCGGUAACGGGAAAGAUUUAUCGCCAAAGGAUUAGCCCGCGUCCGAUUAGCUUGUUGGUGAGGUAAUGGCUCACCAAGGCACCGAUCGGUAGCUGGUCUGAGAGGACGACCAGCCACACUGGGACUGAGACACGGCCCAGACUCCUACGGGAGGCAGCAGUGGGGAAUCUUGGACAAUGGGGGAAACCCUGAUCCAGCCAUGCCGCGUGAGUGAUGAAGGCCUUCGGGUUGUAAACUCUUUCGACGGGGACGAUAGUGACGGUACCCGUAGAAGAAGCUCCGGCUAACUUCGUGCCAGCAGCCGC